rnacentral:rRNA from 1 species
CCCCUUCGGGGGACAAAGUGACAGGUGGUGCAUGGUUGUCGUCAGCUCGUGUCGUGAGAUGUUGGGUUAAGUCCCGCAACGAGCGCAACCCUUAAGCUUAGUUGCCAUCAUUAAGUUGGGCACUCUAAGUUGACUGCCGGUGACAAACCGGAGGAAGGUGGGGAUGACGUCAAAUCAUCAUGCCCCUUAUGAUUUGGGCUACACACGUGCUACAAUGGACAAUACAAAGGGCAGCGAAACCGUGAGGUCAAGCAAAUCCCAUAAAGUUGUUCUCAGUUCGGAUUGUAGUCUGCAACUCGACUACAUGAAGCUGGAAUCGCUAGUAAUCGUAGAUCAUCAUGCUACGGUGAAUACGUUCCCGGGUCUUGUACACACCGCCCGUCACACCACGAGAGUUUGUAACACCCGAAGCCGGUGGAGUAACCUUUUAGGAGCUAGCCGUCGAAGGUGGGACAAAUGAUUGGGGUGAAGUCGUAACAAGGUAGCCGUAUCGGAAGGUGCGGCUGGAUCACCUCCUUU